rnacentral:rRNA from 1 species
GACGAACGCUGGCGGCGUGCUUAACACAUGCAAGUCGAACGGUGAUGGGUGGAGCUUGCUCUGCUUUGAUCAGUGGCGAACGGGUGAGUAACACGUGAGUAACCUGCCCCAGACUCUGGAAUAACCCCGGGAAACCGGUGCUAAUACCGGAUAUGACACAGAAUCGCAUGGUUUCUGUGUGGAAAGUUUUUCGGUUUGGGAUGGACUCGCGGCCUAUCAGCUUGGUGGUGAGGUAAUGGCUCACCAAGGCGAAGACGGGUAGCCGGCCUGGGAGGGCGACCGGCCACACUGGGACUGAGACACGGCACAGACGCCUACGGGAGGCAGCAGUGGGGCAUAUUGCACAAUGGGCGCAAGCCUGAUGCAGCGACGCCGCGUGAGGGAUGGAGGCCUUGGGGUUGUAAACCUCUUUCAGCUCUGAAGAAGCGAAAGUGACGGUAGGAGCAGAAGAAGCACCGGCUAACUACGUGCCAGCCGCCGCGGUAAUAC